CGUAGGUAACCUGCCUGGUAGCGGGGGAUAACUAUUGAAACGAUAGCUAAUACCGCAUAACAGUCGACAUUGCAUGAUGUUGAUUUGAAAGGGGCAAUUGCUCCACUACCAGAUGGACCUGCGUUGUAUUAGCUAGUUGGUGAGGUAACGGCUCACCAAGGCGACGAUACAUAGCCGACCUGAGAGGGUGAUCGGCCACACUGGGACUGAGACACGGCCCAG
rnacentral:rRNA from 1 species